GUCUUAAAGGUGGCAGCAGUGUCCUACGGGAGGCAGCAGUGGGGAAUAUUGGACAAUGGGCGCAAGCCUGAUCCAGCCAUACCGCGUGGGUGAAGAAGGCCUUCGGGUUGUAAAGCCCUUUUGUUGGGAAAGAAAUCCAGCUGGCUAAUACCCGGUUGGGAUGACGGUACCCAAAGAAUAAGCACCGGCUAACUUCGUGCCAGCAGCCGCGGUAAUACGAAGGGUGCAAGCGUUACUCGGAAUUACUGGGCGUAAAGCGUGCGUAGGUGGUCGUUUAAGUCCGUUGUGAAAGCCCUGGGCUCAACCUGGGAACUGCAGUGGAUACUGGGGGACUAGAAUGUGGUAGAGGGUAGCGGAAUUCCUGGUGUAGCAGUGAAAUGCGUAGAGAUCAGGAGGAACAUCCAUGGCGAAGGCAGCUACCUGGACCAACAUUGACACUGAGGCCCGAAAGCGUAGGGAGCAAACAGGAUUAGAUACCCGGGUAGUACACGCCCUAAACGAUGCGAGCCGGAUCUUUUGUGCACUUUGGCACUUCUUGUAU
rnacentral:rRNA from 1 species